AAAUGGAGGCAGUGAGAGAUUUUACCUUCUUGGGCUCCUUGAUCACUGCAGAUGGUGACAGCAGUCGCGAAAUUAAAAGACACCUGCUUCUUGGGAGAAAAGCAAUGACAAACCUAGACAGCAUCUUAAAAAGCAGAGACAUCACCUUGCUGACAAAGGUCCGUAUAGUUAAAGCUAUGGUUUUCCCAGUAGUGAUGUAUGGAAGUGAGAGCUGGACCAUAAAGAAGGCUGAUCGCCGAAGAAAUGAUGCUUUUGAAUUAUGGUGCUGGAGGAGACUGUUGAGAGUCCCAUGGACUGCAAGAAGAUCAAACCUAUCCAUUCUGAAGGAAAUAAGCCCUGAGUGCUCACUGGAAGGACAGAUCCUGAAGCUGAGGCUCCAAUACUUUGGCCACCUCAUGAGAAGAGAAGAAUCGUUGGAAAAGACCCUGAUGUUGGGAAAGAUGGAGGGCACUAGGAGAAGGGGACGACAGAGGACGAGAUGGUUGGACAGUGUUCUCGAAGCUACCAACAUGAGUUUGCCCAAACUGCGGGAGGCAGUGGAAGACAGGAGUGCCUGGCGUGCUAUGGUCCAUGGGGUCACGAAGAGUCGGACACGACUAAACGACUAAACAACGACAACAACUAUUUCUGGGUUAGUGGAGUCUGUAACCUGAAGCAUCUGUAACCUGAAGUGUAUGUAACCUGAGGUACCACUGUAGUUGAAUUACAGUAAUCAAGCCUUAACCAAGCCAGAGUCCUUCAGAUGUUUUGACCUACAGCUCAUUGUCCCAGACUCCCGGAGGCUGUGCUGACUGGGACCAGUGAGAGCUGUAUUAAAAAAUGUCUGAAGGGCACAAGGUUGGCAUAGGUUGCAUAAUAAUUUCAAAACUUUCCAGGUUGGCUGGCUGAUGCUUUGAGGUUUUAGCAUGACAACCAUGUCAGGGACUCAAAACUAUUACAGAUUAGGGUCACUAUUGUAUAUCCUGUGUACAUGUUUAUUUUGUACACAUGAGGAAAUAAUAAAGUUUAGAGCAGAUAAUGAGCAUUUCUCACAAACACUUUUGAGUAUACCUCCUGUCCACUGAAAAGCACAUAGGUAGUAUUAGAUUACAUUUCUAAAACUGUUGACAUUUCCUUUUUUCUGUUCUUUUAUUUCACUUGCUGUGCCACUUUUGCUUAGUGUCCAGUGCUAGUAGCCUGGAAGGCAACAGGGGCAUGUGGUCAAUCAUUUGUGUGAAUUGAUGGGAAGGUAUUUGUUACCAUAGAUUUAACUAGUCUUAUUCAGACAUGACAUGCAGAUUUCCCUUUUGGUAGAGGAUAACAGUCAUUUUGAGAGACACCCACCCACAAAAGCCACAGACAUGAUGCCUGACUCAAAUCUUUACCCACUGCUUUGCAAUGCAAAACUGGUGGAGUUUUUGGUACUUUCUGAUUAAAGCAAAAGUAUUUUACAGGGGUUUUCCAGCAUCUUAGAUGGUUGCUCAAAAACAAAUCAGCUGAGGUUAGUGGAGGGGGACGGAGACUUUUUUUUUUUGCUUAUCUUUGACGCUCAUUCAAAACAAAAAAGAAAACAACCCCAAAAGAAAUUGAGUGUGGUAAAACAUGGCAAAACCACUCCAGGUGUAGGAGAACAAAUAAUACUACAAGGGCUAAGGUGGGCUUUGUGAUCAGCAUCCACUCUUACAAGCUCUGGCACCCAUGCUGAUACUAUUUAGGGAAGCUUUUAAUGUUUGAUUUCUGUAUUUUAAUGUUUUGUUGGAAGCCACCCAGAGUGGCUGGGGGAACCCGGCUAGAUGGGCGGGGUAUAAAUAAUAAAUUAUUAUUAUUGCACAGUGUUUCCCAACCUGGUGUUUUCCAGAUAUUGUAGGCUACAGCUUCCAUCUGUCCCAGCCAGUUUUGGAGUUGCAGUCCAAAACACCUGGAAAGCACCAGUUUGGGGAAGGUUGUUAUAGAGGCACAGGAAUCACUGUGGACCUUGUAGCAUUUGGACAUAGCAUACCAAAACCUUGAAACCCUUCUACUUGCAAACAUCCAAAGCACAAAAGGCAUGAUAUAUUGGUUUUGAGGAAGCCUCUAUCCCUUAUAGUGCAGGUAGCCACACUCUGGGAAAGGAAAGGACUGUUUCUAGGUGGUCACUGUUGUGUGUGUACUUUCCCAUUGAAAGUAAGAGAAAGUGGAUUAAUCCGUUCCAGACGAUGAAAAACGCCCCCUAAAACAGCAAUUCAACACAAAUUUUACUGUCUAAUGAGGCCAUUGAUCCAUAAAAUGAAGGCAAUAAUCAAUGUACUGUACUAUAAAAUAAAUCAGACAGUAUUUUAGGUGAAGGGCAGACUCACACACGGUAUUUUUAGGUGAGGGCAGACUCACACACAAACAAAUCCGAAAAUGAAAGUGAAAUUUUCCACUUCACACCCCCCCCCUCCCUGGCUAGGUGCCGCCCAUCUUUCUACAGCUAGGGGUGGGGCAAGGGUAAAGGGCUUUUCGACACAGUCUCACCUGUUUCUUAACAGCGUCACAGCUCUUUGUCUUCGCUAGGUCCAUUCGUCAAUCCAUACCCCACUAAGGUCGCCACGGAUUGGCUCAUUUGAAUCAGUGGGUUUGGUGGGAACCCGUGAGCCUCCAUGGUGGCUGAGGGGGACAUGCUGUGUAUCCAAGCAGCGAUGGAGGCGCUGCAUCGGGCCGCAACCACCGCUCACCGAGGAGGUACGUGCCAGGACCCUAGUUUAUCCUUUGUUUCCAGCAACAUAUAAAGCAAACACUGAGGAACUCAAAUACGGAAGGAAACCAGUAAGCAGUGUUCAUAACAGCAUAAGCUGCAUGGAGAAUAGUUUCAUUAGUGCUGAAGAAGAAUGAGACCACCACACUGAAAAUCACUGCUCACAAGUGACAUGGCACGCAUCCGAGGGAACCAAUCCAGAUUUCUCUCCUGAAAUUCAGGUGAUCUGGGAAGUAAGUCUUGGGAUUUCCCUUGCAACUUUCCUUAUGAGACAAGAACAUCUGAAAUGGAAGAUCCCUUGUGUAUUUGAAACUGCCUGGUUCUGCAGGACAGAAUCCAUUAGAAAGCAGGUUCUUCCCUACAGAAUAUGGGUUCCUUACAGAACCUAAGAUCUGGUGGUCUUGUUACUUUCUCCCCAAGGUGAAGAAGUGGAGGAGUAACCUCUAGUGAAAGCAACAUACAUCCCAACACUCAUUGACAGAAUCCAGAGGAGCAAGUAAUGAGUGAAUGCAAAAUCUAAUGUUGAAACCCUCCCCACCCCCAGUUCUAGAACCUGUUUUGACUACAUAUUUGGUGGUUCCACAGCUAAUUGCUGACAGGUAAAGCAACUCUAUAAAUGUGAUGUUGCAUGUGUCUGUACUGAUGUAUACAGCUAGUGAUGCAAAAGAAAAGGGAAGGAAAACUGGCAAAAAGAAAAACCCCUAAGUACUGUGGGAGCAGAAAGGGAAGAGAAAAGGUGAGUAGCAGACAAAAGUUUCUAAAUUCAUUGAAGGCUGGUACUGACAGGCAUUCAGUGCUACUGUUUGAUUUCUCUCCCCUCCCACGUUGGAGGCAUAUUCUUUAAUGCUGAAGUUCAGACGAGGAGGAGGAAGCAAGAAAGCCUGGGUGUAAGCAGAUGCACUUUAAUACUACCUCAUAUGAAACCUGGGACAAAACUAGUCUGAUAGCCAUGUUUUAUCUAUUGUAACAAUCAAUUUCAACCACAUGCUAUGACAACUGCCAAGUUCUAGCUAUUUCCAUUUAGUCAGUGGAGCAUCUCUGGGUUAGGCAACAGAGGUAUCAAAUGCUGUGCAAGUGGUACUCCACUCACACAACAGGACUUCCUCUUCCUCUGCCCCAAAUCUGCUGCUGAGGAUCUUCCAAUCCUGUGGAGCAGAUUUUGACAGUGUGUUGGGGGAGGGGGGAAAGGAGCUGCAGGAAAGAAAGUGAAGUUCUGUUGCGCAAGCUGGUGCCUGUUGUGUGAGAAAAAUAGCAGCGUUGGAUACAACCUGAGGAGAGGAAUCUAGCAUUCACCUUCAUGCUCUAUAGAACCACAGCCACUUGAAAUUGAUAGGUGACCUUUCAAAAACCAGUUCUUGCUUUAGGAACCAAUAUUUUAUUAUUCUGAGGUUCUAGUGCCUUUGAAUGUGUACAUAUACACAUGUACCAAUUGGAUCGGACCAAAAGUUCAUAAAGUCUAGCAUCCUACUUUCUAGUAGCCAGUUAUGCAUCUGGAAGGCACACAAGCAAAAACAUGGUGACCAUAGCCCUGCUGUGCUAAUUGCCUCUAAGUGGCAUUAAAAGUAGCAUUAAAAAGUAAAAUGUCAUAUUAAAUGGAAAAACAGAAACAAGUAAAAACAGAAAUUUAGAACUAACAGCUCAGUCUUAUUACCAUUUAUGCAGCUGCACCAUCAAUGUAGAUAGUGCUUUAGAGCACCUCAAAAACUAAAGCAAAUUAUGUUGCCCUCUUCCAAUGAAUUUACAAUCUAACUUCUAUUUUCAACAGGCAUAUGCUUAUAAUAGUGAUGGGUGAAUCAAAGUUCUCACUGCAGAUGAAUGGAUCACAAGAUCUUCCCAGAACCAUUGUUACCAUUUUUGAACUUGUUUUGCAGCAUUCUUAUAACCUAGCGCUAGCAUUUUAUUGGAAACAUAACUAAAAGAACAAUAGAGUUGUAGAGUUGUAAGGGACCCUAAGUGUCGUCUAGUCCAAGCUCCUGCGACUUAAGUUUAUGGAAUCCCUUGUGGGAUCCCUGUCCAUACCUACUCAACUGCCACAGUCCCCUUCCAUGAAAACAUUUCUUCUUCCCCAUGGAUUUAACAGUAUAGCAAGGCCAAGUCACCACCCAGCACCAGUGUGAUCACGUUUCAGUCACAACCUUUCACAGGGCCUUGUCCCUUUUGUAAACUGUCAUUAUUAUUAUUAUUAUUAUUAUUAUUAUUAUUAUUAUUAUUAUUAUUAAUUUGUACCCCACCCAUCUGGCUGAGUCUCCCCAGCCACUCUGGGCGGCUUCCAAUCGAAUAUCAAAACAAUACAGCAAUAGCACAAUUACAAAAGUCACAAACAAUACAUAAACCACAUCAAAAAAUACACAACCGAAUAGAAAACAAUUUCGACAUAAAUCAAAAUCUAAAACUAAGAAUCCAUCAUUAAUACAGUUUAAAAUAACAUAGGUAAAAAAUAGCAGGAAUUUAAACAAAAAACAAAACAAAAUGGAGCCCUCUCUGCCCAGCAGCAGCGACGGCAACAGUCCUUUAUAAAGCCCAUCAGGCCCCGCCCUGGGCCAGGUGGUGAGUGGCAGGACUGGGCCUAAAUUCUCCAACACCCCCCACCCCGAGUGUCUUGUCCCAAAGGGCAGGCCCCACAGUCAAACUUGUAAUACCCAAAUCACAAAACCCAUGUAGGACAGGCCCUCUAUCUUCUAUAUAGCACAAACCCAUAAAACCUGAUCAACCAUUUCCCCUACCUUAUAAACCUCACAUUACUCCAUAGAGUACAAUUGUCUGAACUCUGAACAGACCAACUUGUUUCUCCUGCCCUCAGGAGAACUAUAAAAAACUAUAAAACAAAUCCCAGUGAUGGACAAAAGGAGAAUUCCUUCCUACCAACACAACCCACCUCCCACUGCCUUUCCUAUUCACCUGACAGAGUCUCAAACCAUUUUGCUUUGUAAUGAGAAUUGAAAAUGCUCAACUGGAUUUUUUAAAGGCAUACCAAAGAUCAUUAGGAGAGGUGGCUUGCUUGGCCCCUUAACCCAGCACGACGCAAGCAGUACACCUGCCGAACCUUACGUAUUCUUUGCUGUUACUGGAUUCGCCCUUUAACCUACUCAAAGCAGUAAAUGAGAGCAGGGGUGCUUGGCAACCGGCUGGUUUUAUCACAGAUCUACGACUGUUAAUCCCAGUUGGCUAUGAAACCUAAGACAAUGACCCACAUUAGCUCCCUUGUCAGCUGCUGAGGAUAUACAUCACAAAACAUGUCUAUAUGGAUAACUUACUUGCAUGCAUAUCUCCACUUAUUAGUGGUUUGUGCACAUGGGCAACAAGGGUUUUAGUACAGUUAUAACUGUGAACAUCCGCCUUGUCUAGCGUCUGCUUUGGCAAACAUCCGCAGCAAACCCGGAAGUACCAGAACGGGUUACUUCUGGGUUUGCUGCUCACACAUGCGCAGAAGUGCUAAAUUGCGCUUCACGCAUUCACAGAAGCGCAAACCGCUCUGCACACAUGUGCAGAUGCGGCACUUUGCCCUGCAUCCUUUUUGGCUAGUGGUCGGGGCUCUGGAACAGAUCCCGGUCGCAAAACAAGGUAUGACUGUACACUAGAAAUAAGGGGCUGCUCCUUAAAACCUCAGCAGCUUGCUGUGAUUUGUGGAAAUCAAUCAAGGUACAGUGGUACCUCUGGUUACGAACUUAAUCUGUUCCAGAAAUCCGUUUGUAACCCGAAACCACUCGUAACAUGAGGCGCGCUUUCGGUAAUGGAGCCUUCCGCUGCUGCCGCACUGCUGGCGCAUGAUUUCCGCUCACAUCCCGGGGCAAAGGUCGCAACCGGGAGCAUCUACUUCUGGAUUAGCGGAGCUCGUAACCCGCAGCGUUCACAAAGGGGGACGGUACGUAACAUGAGGUUCCACUGUAGUUAAAUAGGACUAAAAGCAAUAAAGCACAUACAUAACAUUUUAUGCAAAAACCACUCCAUACUACUACUAUCAUACUACCACCAGGGUGGCUAUCUAAAGAACUUUUAACUGAGUUAAGAUUUAAAAGGGGUAUGUACAAAAAAUGGGAAAAGGGGGAAAUCACCAGAGAGGAAUUCAAACAUAUAGUGUAAAGACAAAGUCAGAAAAGCUAAAGCACAGAAUGAACUCAGGCUUGCUAGAGAGGUUAAAAGCAACAAAAAGGGCUUUUAUGGGUAUGUCCGUAGCAAAAGGAAGAACAAGGAAACAGUGGGGUCACUUAGGGGAGAAGAUGGUGAAAUGUGAACAGGGGACAGAGAAAGGGCAGAGCUCCUCAAUGCCUUCUUUGCCUCAGUCUUCUCCCAAAAAGAAAACAAUGCCCGACCUGAAGAAUAUGGAGCAGAUGAUUCAGCAGGGGAAACACAGCCCAGAAUAAGUAAGGAGGUAGUACAAGAAUACUUGGCUAGUUUAGAUGUAUUCAAGUCUCCAGGGCCAGAUGAACUACAUCCAAGAGUAUUAAAAGAACUGGCAGAGGUGAUUUCAAAACCACUGGCAAUAAUCUUUGAUAAUUCCUGGAGAACAGGCGAAGUUCCAGCAGACUGGAGGAGGGCAAAUGUUGUCCCUAUUUUCAAAAAGAGGAAAAGAGAGGACCCAAACAAUUACCGCCCAGUCAGCCUGACAUCAAUACCAGGAAAGAUUCUAGAGCAGAUCAUUAAGCAAACGCUCUGUGAGCACCUAGAAAGAAACACUGUGAUCACUAAAAGUCAGCAUGGGUUUCUGAAAAAUAAGUCAUGUCAGACUAAUCUGACAUGACUAAUCUGAUCUCAUUUUUUUUACAGAAUUACAAGCCUGGUAGAUGAAGGGAAUGCUGUGGAUAUAGCCUAUCUUGAUUUCAGCAAGGCCUUUGAAAAGGUGCCCCAUGAUAUUCUUGUAAAGCUGCUGGUAAAAUACGGGCUAGAUAAUGCUACCAUUCAGUGGAUUUGUAACUGGCUGACUGACCGAACCCAAAGGGUGCUCAUCAAUGGCUCCUCCUCAUCCUGGAGAGUAGUGACUAGUGGGGUGCCACAGGGUUUUAUCUUGGGCCCAGUCUUAUUCAACAUCUGUAUCAAUGACUUGGAUGAUGGGCUUGAGGGCAUCCUGAGCAAGUUUGCACUUGACACCAAAUUGGGAGGGGUGGCUAAUACCCCAGAGGACAGGAUCACACUUCAAAAUGACCUUAGCAGAUUAGACAACUGGGCCAAAGCAAACAAGAUGAAUUUUAACAAGGAGAAAUGUAAAGUACUACACUUGGGCAAAAAAAAUGAAAGGCACAAAUACAGGAUGGGAGACACCUGGCUUGAGAGCAGUACAUGUGAAAAGGAUCUAGGAGUCUUGGUAGACCACAAACUUGACACGAGUCAACAGUGUGAUGCAGCAGCUAAAAAAGCCAAUGCAAUUCUGGGCUGCAUCAAUAGGAGUAUAGCAUCUAAAUCAAGGGAAGUAAUAGUACCACUGUGUUCUGCUCUGGUCAGUCCUCACCUGGAGUACUGUGUCCAGUUCUGGGCACCACAGUUCAAGAAGGAUACUGACAAGCUGGAAUGUGUCCAGAAGAGGGCAACCAAAAUGGUCAAAGGCCUGGAAACGAUGCCUUAUGAGGAAAGGCUUAGGGAGCUGGGUAUGUUUAGCCUGGAGAAGAGAAGGUUAAGGGGUGAUAUGAUAGCCAUGUUCAAAUAUAUAAAAGGAUGUCAUAUAGAGGAGGGAGAAAGGUUGUUUUCUGCUGCUCCAGAGAAGCGGACACGGAGCAAUGGAUUCAAACUACAAGAAAGAAGAUUCCACCUAAACAUUAGGAAGAACUUCCUGACAGUAAGAGCUGUCUAGCAGUGGAAUUUGCUACCAAGAAGUGUGGUGGAGUCUCCUUCUUUGGAUGUCUUUAAGCCGAGGCUUGACAGGCAUAUGUCAAGAAUGCUUUGAUGGUGUUUCCUGCUUGGCAGGGAGUUGGACUGGAUGGCCCUUGUGGUCUCUUCCAACUCUAUGAUUCUACUACUACUACUCCCCCCAGAGUCAUGAUACCUUCUUAAAUCAUAGAAUAGAAGAAUAGUAUGGAGAUAACUGACUAUACGUACAAGUUUGUGUGCAAUGCUAGACUAAUGGAUUUCGUUAAUGAACAUGACUAACUUAAAUACAUUACUUUCAAUGGGUUUAUUUCUAAGUAGAUAUUUGUUGGAUAUAACCCAUAUAUUCUCUCCCAGUCAUCACUCUUCCUACCACCUUAUCCAAGAAAUGUGUAUUUGUGACUGGGUGGUAGUUAUAAACCAUGGGCUGUAUAUGACAACAAAGAAGGGGAGGGAGCUAGAGUGAGUGAGUGGUUACCACUGUAGAAAUAUUGUGCCUCCCCAAGCACCACACUCCCGACACAUUCAGCAAAUCUGGUUUUCAGAAACCCUACACUGAUUACUUUGGUCUUCAAGAAAUAUCAAAAGCUAUGAACCCCAUAACUAGUAAAAUGGGGCAGGUACACCUUCAGGGUGGGAGGAAAGGGGGGAAAUGCAGAUCAUGGUUUCUGUUGCUGAGAGACACAAAACAAAUAUUUUGGGCAAAUACUUGACAUCCUUGUUUCACAGAACUUUGUCACAACCCAACAAGCAGCAAAUCAACUGGAUUAGGAGCAGUUGAUAUGUUUCUGCAAGAUAGUGCACCAGCUUUGCUUCUCAGUUCCCUGCAUGAGGUUAUAUAGAUGUUUUCAGGAGACAUAAGAAAUGAAACUGAAACGUGUAUUCAAAGCAGCUCGUUUUGUGGGCCAAAGAAUUCUACAGCCUAUAUAACAGUACACCUUAACCUGCUUCUCCCCUCUCCUUCAUCUCACUGUCAAAUCAUACCCAUUUCAGAGGGUUUUUUAAAAAAAUUAUUCAAAAGUUACAGUACAUUUUAAAUCAAUAUAUCGCCUCCACAGACACCUCUGCGAUGAUGGUGGCAUUAAAAUAAGAACAGGGUAUUUUAAUUUUGGAGGUAGUCUGUCCAAGGAGUAAGCUUGACAAGCAGGUUUCUGUUAAAAGUUCAACAAAGCCCUUAAGGUGUCUGGUCUUGCAAGCAACACAUGUGAAGUUACCAUGGCUCCCCCCACCUCCUUUUUGCAUGCAUUAAGUGAGCCAUAAUCUUGAGCCUUUAUGUUUGGUCUGUUUCCUUGCCUCCACAGGCACACCCCUUUCCUACUGGUGUCCCACAUACCAAUGCUGUUAUGCACUGUCUGCUUUGGCCCUCCUACAAGCCUGGUGGUGCCGUCAGCUCCCUCUUCCCGUCACAGCAGCAGCUUCCUCUCUUUAAAGUUUUAAACAGACCAACUGAAUUAAGCCACUGAUGGAAGCUGGCUAACCACAAGUGUUGUGUUUCUGGCUAGCUCUUUUCUAGGUAAAGUUGGAAAAGUCCCUUUCAAGUAGCAAUCAUCAGAAUCUCAGACACGGGGGCGGCGAUGGCCAGAGCUUUAAAAUGUCCAUGAUUGGUAACUUGUUUGUUUUUUCUUUCUUUCCAAAAAAGGAAGCUGCUAUGUGCGAUGGAAAUGAUCAUUCAUUCUGAGAAAUCUCACACUUCCUUGCUUUCACUGAACUGAGCUUGCUUUAGGGGUCUUUCCAACCUUGGAUUUUAUCUUUAUUGUUAAAAGUCAAAUCUAUCUUCCAGUAUGCAGUCCUGAUCUGUAAUUGAUUGGAGGUGAGUGGGGGGGAUAGCUGCACUUUUACCCUCUUUUAAACCAUGGCAUAUGGGUUCAGCACUCGGGGGCUGGGGGUGGGGAAGCGCACCUUCUUCAAAAGAACUAAAAAACAGCAUGGCAACAGAUGUAUUUCAAAGACAAUGUACUGUUGUGGUGUGGAAAAGGUAACUCUCUUCAUCUCGUCACAUUUCCUCAUAAAAGAAUGCUACAAAGAAGUAAAAUUAAAGACUUUAAACAGUUCCUAGAAUGGUACAGACAUGAAAUGGAGUUUGUAAUUUGUGUUUCAAUGGUUAACACAUGUCGUAUCUAAUAGAGCCUUGUGACUACUACUUACAUGCAAUUGCCACAUCCUACACCUGCAGUAACAAUUGUGGUGGACAUACUAGCAGGAUAAUUUUAUUUUCUACAGUGAUAAAUAUCGGAGUGCUGGAAAAUGCAAUAUCCCUUUCUGGAGGAAAGGCACCUGAACUCCUUGCAAUAUAUGAAUAGCAGUAUUUAUUACCGGUACAUUCUGCAUGGAUCAGUUGGGUGCAAUGGCUACGAGAAAAAUAUCCAAGAGUUAUUGUUUGUACUACUUUUUUAAAAGAUAGAGAAACCUCCACGGAAUAAUAGCCAGGUCUGAGAUCCAUCUCCCAGUUUUUAAUUUUCAUUCUCAGAAUCUUACUAACAGCGCACAGUCAUUAUGUUGAAAGAAUGACUAUCCCUAACUCAGGGGUGUAUCUAAAAGGAUCCUGAGACAGUUCAGCCUACUGCCAUGACUGGGAAAGACCAGUUGAAGCCAUUUCACAUUAUGCUUAUAGCCAAGCUGUGAAUUGUAGAUGCAGUCUUGUAAGAACUGGAAAGAAAUUCAACAUUUGUUUGAAAAUCAAUGCAUGUGUAACAUGAGAAUUAUGGCCAACACUUCUGUAUAUGAAAAAGGCAAAUGAACUCUGGAGUGGGUAGAGAGUCUUGCUGUUGCCAUUUAAAAAUAACAGAUGGAGAAGCUGUGGUCCUCUAGUUGUAGGACUCCAGGUCCCAUCAUCCCAGUUCAUUGGCCAUACUGGCUGGGGACUUAAGGGGUCUUGGGAGUCCAACAUUUGGAGAGCCAUAGGUUCCACAUCUCUAAAAGAAAAUGUAGAGCGAAAGUGAGUACACCUGCAUCUGCUGGUGAUUUUCUCCUUAGGCCUUUCACAAACGCAGAAAGCUAGCCAGUUGAUUCCAAUGCUUUGAGUUUAGUUUAGUUCUAAUAUUAAGCAACUUAAACCACACCCAACACCACAUGCCAACCUGCAUGCAGAGAAGGAGACAAGGCAAUUCAACAGACCACCGAUCUUGGUGGAAACUUCUCUAGGUAGCAGCCCUUCGCUAUUAGGAAAUGAGUUCUUCUCAGUAAGGCACCACUCCACCCAGAGGCCAAGCAAGACAAAUACUUGAGAGCUCAUUCUUUCUUUCUUAAUUUAAAAUAGUUCAAUGGCUGCAGGGAAAUUCACAGCUCACAGCUGUUUCCCAUGAUGAAGUAAUUUUCAUUACGAGCAAACCUUGCCCAGCUUUUACAUAACCAAUGAUGAAGAGCUGCUGAGGGAUUGCCCAAAGGAGGUUCCCUUUUGUGUUUCAUACUAUGACAGUGCUGGCCCUUCCGCUAACCUAGUUCUUGUUUGGUACUGUAGGGAUUACAUAAGUAAACCAGGACACAUUAUAUCAUGUGCAGCUGGGCUGGAAUUAAUUGCCUGAUCUAGCACAAACACAUAACAGGGAUUGUCUAUAACCUGCCCAUGGUAAUGAAUUUCACCCUAAAAUUAUUGUUCAAAGGAUAAAGGGGGUAGUGACAGAGGUGUUCUCUGAGUAGAAGGGCUAAGCAGGGAAUGCAGAGCACAGCAUCUAGGCUGGGUACACAGAAUAUGGCAGCACACAAGAUGGGCUAAGAGCCAAGCCAAUGUAUGUUGCAAGAAUUUUGGACUGGGGAAGCUGUGAAUGAAAGAUGCAGUUUUAUUAAAGAGAAAGAAAAAUGGAAGCAAAAUUAAUAUUCUUGAGUAGGGAUGGAUCUGUCAAUUUCAGUUCUCAGUUCCUUAUUUCCCCAAUCUUAAGUCUAUUCUCUACAUUUCUACAGCAGUUUUGUGAUUAAAAUUAAAAUAAUAAUAAAAAACUCAUGAAAAUUAUUCAGCAUUUUAGUAAGAAUUUCUCCUAAUAAACACAUUUCAUACUGAGUACUCAUGCACAUAUUUUUUGCAAGUGAUUCACCCUAGUAUUUGUAUGUUAUUUUCACCAAUAUAAUUGCUUUUAUGCACAUUUUCCCCUAAUGCAUGCAUUUUGGUUGGAGAACUGCACUGCAAAAUUUGGAUAAGUGUGAAUUUUGAGGUACAGCUAUAUUUUGUUUCUCACACUGUUUUGAAAAGUGUGAUUUGGUGGAAGCACCUUUAAAUGCAAGCCAGAUUGAGGUCCCCCCCUCUACUCUUGAGAAUUUCAAACAUUAUAUGAAAUUUCUGUCCCCUGUUAUUAUUUUGGGACACAAACAUUUCAUAUAAACCAUGAACCUGAAUUUCUGCACUCACAGUCUCCUGGACCUCAGCUUCUAUGAAUACAAUUUUUUAGUACUCCUUUUUGCAAAAAUAAUAAUAAUCUGCAAAUUGCACAGAAACAAGAGACUUCCAGUAUUUCAAGAACUUGAGAGUUCUUAACUUACUACUCUGUCACAACUUCUAGUUGCUGCCCUACUUAUAAAAACCCUUUGCACUUGCUUCUUCAUCCCACUAUGACUGGAGUGAUCAUGCCUACAAGGGAUGGUUCCGGGGCACAGCUUUCAGCUAGUUAGCACAAGCAAAGCUUGCCAGGGUUACCAGGAUAAUGUCUAUGAUUUUUCAUUUCCUCACAGACAUGUUGGCAGCUUGGGCUUGUACUGAAUGGCUGAUGGAAGGCCCCAAACACCUGCUCUCUAUGGGAAUGUUCAGUUCAGGGAGACUUAGAAAAGAAGUUUGCCCAAAAUGUGAUCAUCACCAAAUUCUAGCAACUACUGUACUUCAUACCCACAUUUCAGAAAGCAGCAGAUUUCCAGAGGGGAAAGCCACAUUAGUCUCUUGCUGUACAAACAGCAGUGUGAGCAACACUAUUUAUUUUGACAGAAGUAUUCAUGGACUAAGUAAAACAAAUUUGUUUAUAAUCCAAAGAAUGUAAUUCUAUAUACCACCCCCUGCAUUUAUUUUUGUCAAUGAAAUGCAACCUGUUUCUGAACACAACACUCUUUACAAGAUCCAAACAAUUUACAAGAAUGGACAAUUCCACACAAAAUGUGAAACUUCAGUGUUGCCAUGAAUGUCAGCUUCUCUAACCUUGUCUCUCUGGACUAAGAUCCUGAAAUUGGCAGGAAUGCCCCAUCCUUCCUAUUACAGAAUCUCCCCUCUCUCAUGCCAAGGGACAGGGUACCCUUCAGAGUGGGGCAUGAGAGAUUACUACCGAAUGGGGAAACCAUCAAUCCCGCCCAUGUACAUGCACAUAUUUUGAUCCUGGCCAUUGAACUCCCUUUCUGUCUAGAAGUUACACACUUUUGUAUAGAUCAUGCACAGGCACCAACCAUAUUGAGAAAGGGGUUCAUGCACAGGGUUUCUGGCUAAAUAAACAGAUGGCAAUAAUAAAGGGGUUAAAACUGAGUCAACACACAGGACGUGGAGGGAGGCACACUGGAUGAGAGCAACAAAUGCACUUGAACAUAACAGAUAACAAUCCAGGUAAACAGAAUAGAUAACUAAUAGAUUAGCAAGAGGGUGAGGCAACUGAACACCUGCCCUCAGUUUACACUGAACACCUCAGUUUACACUGAGGCAAAGCCACAGUUAUCAGUCUAACGCUGGUGUGCUCCCUUUAAAUCUAGUGCAUUAGCUCACUUUAGUGUUCCAUAAUAAGCCACUCACUGGCGGAAAUUAUUAGUGUUCCUAUUACAGCAUGUAAAGGCUGCAAUCCUUGUUCCACUAAUCCUCAUGACAACCAUAGGAAGGUGGUAAUUAAUGUUCCCAUUUGACGGUUAAAAAGCAGCCAUUAGUAUGGCCAGCUUCAGCCAAGGCAAAGCAACAAGUUUAUUAUAUCUACUUUUUAUCAGGCUGCAGGGCAGAGGGAGAGAAGAGGAGCCAUGGAAUUCCAUCAUAUGUGUGGAAAAACUGGCUGUUUUUGCCCCCCCCCAAACUUGGGAUCCUAGCUAGUUGUUGUAAGAAGUGUAAGCUUAAGAAUUAGUCCCUGAGCUUGUUUCCUUUGUCCUUCCUCCGUUCCUUCUUCCUUGUGUGUCAGAUUGUAAGCCUAAGAGCAGAGACUUGUCUUACUAACAGUCUUUGCAAGACACGGUGGGAGUUGGCAAAACUGCUUUAAAUAAGUACAGUGGUGUCUCGAUUUACGAAUUUGAUCUGU